rnacentral:rRNA from 1 species
CGAGUCCGAGUCUCCACGGAGACGAAGUGGCGGUCAUCCAGCUUCCUAGAAAAGCUCUAACCACGUUAAUCUUUAGUUGCCUGUACCCGAAACCGACACAGGUAGGGGGGUAGAGAAUACCAAGGGGCGCGAGAUAACUCUCUCUAAGGAACUCGGCAAAAUGACCCCGUAACUUCGGGAGAAGGGGUACCACUGAGAAGUGGUCGCAGUGAAGAGGCCCAGGCGACUGUUUACCAAAAACACAGGUCUCCGCCAAGUCGCAAGACGAAGUAUGGGGGCUGACGCCUGCCCAGUGCCGGAAGGUUAAGGAAGUGGGUUAGGGAUUCGUCCCGAAGCUGACGACUGAAGCCCCGGUGAACGGCGGCCGUAACUAUAACGGUCCUAAGGUAGCGAAAUUCCUUGUCGGGUAAGUUCCGACCCGCACGGAAGGCGUAACGAUCUGGGCGCUGUCUCGGAGAGAGGCUCGGCGAAAUAGGAUUGUCUGUGAAGAUACGGACUACCUGCACCUGGACAGAAAGACCCUAUGAAGCUUUACUGUAGCUUGGAAUUGGGUUCGGGCUUGGUUUGCGCAGGAUAGGUGGGAGGCGAAGAAGAUUUGCUUGUGGGUGAAUCUGAGCCAACGGUGAGAUACCACUCUAACCAGGCUAGAAUUCUAACUUCAACCCGUCAACCGGGGGAAGGACAGUUUCAGGUGGGCAGUUUGACUGGGGCGGUCGCCUCCUAAAAGAUAACGGAGGCGCACAAAGGUUCCCUCAGGCUGGUUGGAAAUCAGCCAACGAGUGCAAAGGCAGAAGGGAGCUUGACUGCGAGACCUACAAGUCAAGCAGGGUGGAAACACGGUCUUAGUGAUCCGACGGCACCGAGUGGAAGGGCCGUCGCUCAACGGAUAAAAGUUACUCUAGGAUAACAGGCUGAUCUCCCCCAAGAGUUCACAUCGACGGGGAGGUUUGGCACCUCGAUGUCGGCUCAUCGCAACCUGGGGCGGAAGUACGUCCCAAGGGUUGGGCUGUUCGCCCAUUAAAGCGGUACGUGAGCUGGGUUCAGAACGUCGUGAGACAGUUCGGUCCAUAUCCGGUGUAGGCGCAAGAACAUUGAGAGGAGUCUUCCUUAGUACGAGAGGACCGGGAAGAACGCACCGCUGGUGUACCUGUUAUCGUGCCAACGGUAAACGCAGGGUAGCCAAGUGCGGAGUGGAUAACCGCUGAAAGCAUCUAAGUGGGAAGCCCACCUCAAGAUGAGUGUUCUCAUGGAGUAAUCCAGUAAGGUCACGGGAAGACGACCCGUUGAUAGGCGGUAGGUGGAAGUUCAGCAAUGGAUGAAGCCGAUCCGUACUAACAGACC